AGCCAAUGAGCUUGUACAAGCAUAUAUUUUGAAAAUAUAAGAAAGAUUAAAUCUAUUGGCUU
rnacentral:tRNA from 1 species